rnacentral:rRNA from 1 species
UUACACAUGCAAAGUCGAACGGCAGCACGGGAGCAAUCCUGGUGGCGAGUGGCGAACGGGUGAGUAAUAUAUCGGAACGUGCCAGUCGUGGGGGAUAACGUAGCGAAAGCUACGCUAAUACCGCAUACGAUCUAUGGAUGAAANCGGGGGAUCGCAAGACCUCGCGCGGAUUGGAGCGGCCGAUAUCAGAUUAGGUAGGUUGGUGAGGUAAAGGCUCACCAAGCCGACGAUCUGUAGCUGGUCUGAGAGGACGACCAGCCACACUGGGACUGAGACACGGCCCAGACUCCUACGGGAGGCAGCAGUGGGGAAUUUUGGACAAUGGGCGCAAGCCUGAUCCAGCAAUGCCGCGUGCAGGAUGAAGGCCUUCGGGUUGUAAACUGCUUUUGUACGGAACGAAACGGUGAGCUCUAAUACAGUUUGCUAAUGACGGUACCGUAAGAAUAAGCACCGGCUAACUACGUG